rnacentral:rRNA from 1 species
CAGUAGCCGCGGUAAUACGUAGGGUCCGAGCGUUGUCCGGAAUUAUUGGGCGUAAAGGGCUCGUAGGCGGUUUGUUGCGUCGGGAGUGAAAUCCCCCAGCUUAACUGGGGGUCUGCUUUCGAUACGGGCAGACUAGAGGCAUUCAGGGGAGAACGGAAUUCCUGGUGUAGCGGUGAAAUGCGCAGAUAUCAGGAGGAACACCGGUGGCGAAGGCGGUUCUCUGGGAAUGUUCUGACGCUGAGGAGCGAAAGUGUGGGGAGCGAACAGGAUUAGAUACCCCAGUAGUCCCUGUCUCUUAUAA